UACGGAGGGUGCGAGCGUUGUCCGGAAUUACUGGGCGUAAAGCGUGCGUAGGUGGUUUGUUAAGUCUGUUGUGAAAGCCCCGGGCUCAACCUGGGAAUGGCAAUGGAUACUGGCAAGCUAGAGUGCGGUAGAGGGUAGUGGAAUUCCCGGUGUAGCGGUGAAAUGCGCAGAUAUCAGGAGGAACACCGGUGGCGAAGGCGGGACUCUGGGCCGAUGACUGACGCUGGAGGAGCGAAAGCGUGGGGAGCAAACAGG
rnacentral:rRNA from 1 species